UAACGCAAUUCGUAAAGUAAAAAAAUCGUCGAUUCCUCUACUUCAGUCUUCCCUCACCAUGCACUAAUUCUCUUCGCGCCCGUCUCGCGCCUCUUCGUCGGUUCUCUUUCUCUAUCACACUCAGACACACGCUUCCCGCUCAAUUCGUAUGAACAGUUCUAAUGAUUUUAUUGUGAUUUCCUGCUUCAACCGAUUCCAUUCCGUUUCUGCGAACUAUUUGCGUGAUUUUUUAGUUUAUUUGGGGCUUACGUGAAGAUGGUGGACUCCGUAGCGAAGAGAACGAGGCUGAGGCGAGCAAUGGCUAGAGAGGAGCAUUUGGAGCAGAGGAAGAAACGUAGGAAGAAGAGCAGGGAUUCCGCUAGUAACAAUGUUCGAGGUCAAUUUUCGAGCGGAGGAUUUCGUGAUCGAGGCAAGUGGGUUAAUGCUUCUGAAAAUUGUAGUGUUAAUCGUCGAAUGGAGGUAGAAAAAGUGGCUAUAAGUGUUGAUAGCAAGGAGGAGAGCGUCGAGGAGAUUGAUGCUGUUACGUUUGGUAGAGAAGGUGGGGAUUCGGUCACAUUUGUAGGUUCUGAGAGUUCGGGGUUGAAGAAUGUGAAAGGAUUUGGUAUGAAAGGGAAUGUUGAUGUAAUCGAUUUAGAGAAUGAGGUGAUUUUUCUUGACGAGGAGGAGGGUUUUGAUUCUGUGAAUUCGAACUGUUCGAUUUCUAAGUCAGCUGCUGCUGCUGCGAAGGGCGGGGAUUUCACUUGCCUUGAUUUGGAUAACGAAGAUGGUAGUAGUGGCUUGAUUUCAUCUGGCAAGGGAAAGGGUGCUUUAGAGAUAUCUCCAAAUAAAAGCAUGGGAGAAAGUAAUUGCUUGAAUUCUAAUGGCUUUGAGAGUGGAGGUUGCUCGUACAGCACUGAGCCCGCGUGUUGUCCUGAUGAUGCUGUAGAUGAGUCCACUGAAUCGGGAGCAUCAUCAAACGAAGAGAAGUCUGAUGAAUUGAGUGACGAGAAUUAUGAAUUAGAAGAAUCAGAAGAGUCAAUUUCAGAGUCCUCUAGUAGUUCAGAAAACGUGGAAAAUAAUGGAAGUUGCUGUGUAGAAGCAGGAAGUAGAAGGGAAAGAAUGGAAAGCAGGAAGAGGAUGAAAGUUAUUGAAGGUGGACUAAAGAGGUGUAAAGCUUAUGGAUUGGACAUAUUGUCUGAUCUUGACAAGGACGGUCAUAACUUUGAUUAUGAAAAUGGAAAUGCUAAGGUUCGUGAGCAGCAGGUGAAUUGUGUUGCACGAAGAACCCGUUCACGCUACGUUUGGAAGGUUAAAAAGAUAAAUAAUGAUCUUGGAACUGUCAGUCAGCCACUCUGUAUUGAUGAGGAAGGGUCAGACUUUGAGGGCAAUGAGAAAGAAAUACAUUCUUCGUCAAGGCAUGACAGUGGAGAUUCUUGUGAUAGUGACAAUGACAGCGAUAACGAUAGCGAUAGCGAUAGCGAUAGUGAUCGUGGUCAUGGUCGAGCUCGUGAUCGUGAUCGUGGUCGUGGUCGUGGUCGUGGUCGUGGUCGAGGUCGUGAUAGUGUUCGUGAUCAUGAUCGUGAUCGUACUGCUGAUGAUGGAAUUUACAAGCCAAGAGCCUGGAGUAGUGGUAUUAAAAAGAGAACUCAGUUCAACAAUCAAAGUGAUGAUGUUAUCUUAUCAGAAAAAAAUGAUGAUCAUACAAACAAGGUUGAGAAUUUUCAUGGGGGUAGUAAACUUUGGGAUAGUAAAAGUUCUCCUGAAACAGAUAAACACAAACGGAGUGAAGACUGUGAAGAUUUUCAGAAGGUUCACCCAAAGAAUUUCCAUGAGUUUGAUAGUAUUAUCAAAACAAAAGGCCACAGUGCCUGCAAAAAUCUUGAUGUUUUCAAUAUUCUUGUAGAUUCCAUAGUUGCAGACAAAGAACUGCCUUCAGAUGAUUUAGAUUCUCGUACAAGUCCACUCUCCCAUUGUCCUGAGAUGCCUCUUCCUUUGAAGUUCAAUUUUAGAUUUGAGGAACCACAUCUUCCAGAGAGGUUAGAGGAAGAAAAAGAAAUGGAUAAACUGUGGGCUGAGCUUGACUUUGCUCUCAGAUCCAGCGAGAUUGGUGCGGUGGAUUCUAUUACAGUUGAAAAUGAAGAUGCCUUUCUUUCAAAGCUUGACCAAGCGGAUCUUUGUCUUCGUGGGGAUCAUCAGCUGAUACUUGAUGAACAAAUCGGACUUAGAUGCACACGUUGUUCAUAUGUCAAAUUGGAAAUCAAAGAUAUUCUACCUUCUUUUGGUACAAAUCCAUCUGGAAAGUCGCAUAAGAGGGAAUCUGGCUCAUUUGAGCACGUUAGAUUUGAUGACCUUCAACAGGAAUUUGAUCGUGACCCCCAUGACAUAUCUGAUUCACAAUAUCAUGUUGGACGUACAGUGUGGGAUAUCAUUCCCGGUAUAAGGGAGAGCAUGUAUCCACAUCAGCGUGAAGGGUUUGAAUUUAUUUGGGAAAAUAUAGCUGGAGGAAUUUAUCUUGAUGAGUUAAGAAACAUAAACAGCUCAAACAAUGGGAGUGGAUGCAUUGUAUCACAUGCUCCUGGAACAGGAAAAACUCGUCUAACAAUUGUUUUUCUUCAGACAUACAUGGAACUAAAUCCAACAUGCCGGCCUAUAAUUAUUGCACCUAGCAGCAUGCUCCUUACCUGGGAAGAGGAGUUUUUGAAGUGGAAGGUUGGCAUUCCCUUUCAUAACCUGAAUAAGCGAGACUUCACUCUCAAGGAGAAUUUUUCAGCUCUUAAGUUCUUGAUGCAAGCUUCUCCAUCAGGACAAACUGUGGAGAAUGUACGGCUUGUAAAACUGCUUUCCUGGAAAAAGGAGAAAAGCAUUUUGGGAGUUAGUUACAGAUUGUUUGAGAGACUUGCAGGAGUUCGGAAGAAUACGAAAUGUGAUAAAGUAAGGAAUGUCCUUUUGGAGCUUCCUGGUCUUGUUGUCUUUGAUGAAGGGCACAUACCACGCAACGAUGAUAGUCUUAUUUGGAUGGCCUUGUCUAAAAUUAAAACAGAAAGGCGCAUCAUUCUCUCCGGAACACCAUUCCAGAAUAAUUUUACUGAGUUUUCUAAUACACUAAGGUUGGCGAGGCCAAACUUUGCAGAUGCAUGUAAGUCUGGAGGUAAUGAAUGCCCAGAUAAGAAGCGUGGACGCCCGAAACAUAUCUCAAGAGGAAAAUGGGACCUUUUGAUUAGUUCCAUCGACAGAACUGAAAACUUGCCGGAAAGUCCGGAAUUGAGAGAAAUCAGAGCCUUGAUCAGUCCGUUUGUGCAUGUAUACAGGGGCAACAUCCUACGUGAGAAGCUUCCGGGGUUGAGGAAAUCUAUAGUUAUAUUACGGCCAGCAGAGCUGCAGAAAAGUUAUCUUGAAAGCAUAGUAGGGAACAAUUCUUUUGAGGUGGAAUAUGCUGAGUCCUUGAUAUCCGUACACCCUUCCCUGAAACUGAAAUGUGAUAAAGAAGAUUUUGAUAUCGACAAGGAAAUGUUAGAGAAGGUUAGAUUGAAUCCUGAACUAGGAGUGAAAAUACAGUUUCUCCUCGAAAUUAUACGUCUGAGUGAAGCUUUGAAUGAGAAAGUUUUGGUUUUCAGCCAAUACAUUGAACCAUUGUCCUUUAUAGAUGAGAAUCUUAAGUUUCAUUUUAAUUGGAAUGAAGGGGUAGAGGUAUUUCAUAUGGAUGGAAAGCGUGAUAUAAAGAAGCGACAAGCAUUGAUAAAUACAUUUAACGAUCCGACAAGUGAGGUUCGGGUGUUGCUUGCAUCAACAAAGGCUUGCUCAGAAGGUAUAAACCUUGUUGGGGCUUCAAGGGUAGUUUUACUUGAUGUUGUAUGGAAUCCUUCAGUGGAAAGGCAAGCUGUAUGCCGUGCAUUUAGACUUGGCCAGAAAAAAGUUGUUUAUGUGUAUCAUCUCAUUGCCUCUGGGACAAGGGAAGAGGAAAAAUACAGUCGACAAAUGAAAAAAGAUCGGUUGUCUGAGUUAGUUUUCUCUCCUGAACAGGGCAGUAAUCAAGUAAAAGUAUCAUCCACAGAUCUGGAUGACAGAAUUUUGGAAGCAGUUCUUCAACAUGAAAAGCUUAAAAAUAUAUUCGAAAAGAUAGCGUACCAAUCAAAGCAGUCCAGCAUGAAUGGGAAUUUUGGCCCGGCAGACUAGGACUGAAAAUGUUAUCACCAUGUCUGGAACCUGAUGCUCUCAUCCUUUGUUUUCAAGUUCGAUUCCCUUUCGGAAGCUUGGCAGACAGACAGUUAUUGAGCCGUGGUACUUUUGGACACUGAUUUUUGUGGCCUUUCUUGCGACGAUGCGCCAGAAUUGGUCGUAAGCACUACUAACUCGUAUUUAUUUUUUUUAUGGAUCCAUUAGAUGGGGGUAAAAGCCAUUUUUUGCCCCGUCUUUUAUGGAGUGCUUAAUUUUUUGAAGCAGCCAGUUAAAUAUUAUAUGAAUUUUUUGGUCUCACUUCUCAAUGUACAGCGAAGAACUGUAGUUUCGUUUGGAUAAGUUACCCAAAAGAAACUACAGAAUCUUGGAAAGUGUUUAGUUAGAAAUAGAAUACACAAGUUUAGUUAGUUUUAACUGAAAAAGCUGCUGUGAAAAGGAAAUGCUAACAGAGGUUCUUCUAUAUGUUGUUUUCCCCUUAAUAUUGAUAUUAACUUCGAAUAAAAGUAGAGAUAUUCGUGGCAUUAUGGUGUAACUACAACCUUUUGAUGAUUAUACAAGUGACUGGAAGGCUGUUCUUGAAUGGUAUUCUCGACUUG